AGGUAGUGAGAACCAUCUGAGACCAUUACAGGUACUAAGCACCAUCUUAAACCAGUAAAGGUAUUGAGAACCAUCUGAGACCAUUACAGGUACUAAGCACCAUCUUAAACCAGUAAAGGUACUAAGCACCAUCUUAAACCAGUAAAGGUCUUAAGAACCAUCUGAGGUCAGCACAGGUACUAAGCACCAUCUUAAACUAGUAAAGGUAUUGAGAACCAUCUGGGACCAUUACAGGUACUAAGCACCAUCUUAAACCAGUAAAGGUAUUGAGAACCAUCUGAGACCAUUACAAGUACUAAGCACCAUC